rnacentral:rRNA from 1 species
CGGGGACAACAUUCGGAAACGGAUGCUAAUACCCCAUAGGUGGAUUGGUCGCAUGACGAAUUCAUUAAAGGUGGCUUUGCUACCACUCAUGGAUAGCCUCGCGGCGUAUUAGCUAGUUGGUAAGGUAAUGGCUUACCAAGGCAGUGAUACGUAGCCGACUUGAGAGGGUGAUCGGCCACACUGGGACUGAGACACGGCCCAG